AGUGAACGCUGGCGGCGUGCUUAACACAUGCAAGUCGAACGAGAACGGGUUAUAGCUUGCUAUAAUUGUCAGCUAAGUGGCGCACGGGUGAGUAAUGUAUAGGUAAUAUGCCUCUUACUAAGGGAUAACAAAUGGAAACGUUUGCUAAUACCUUAUACUCCUUAUUAACAGAAGUCAAUAAGGGAAAGAUUUAUUGGUAAGAGAUUAGCCUGUAUUGUAUCAGUUAGUUGGUGAGGUAAUGGCUUACCAAGACUAUGACACAUAACUGGUUUGAGGGGAUGAUCAGUCACACUGGAACUGAGACACGGUCCAGACUCCUACGGGAGGCAGCAGUGGGGAAUAUUGCACAAUGGACGAAAGUCUGAUGCAGCAACGCCGCGUGGAGGAUGACACAUUUCGGUGCGUAAACUCCUUUUAUAUGAGAAGAUAAUGACGGUAUUAUAUGAAUAAGCACCGGCUAACUCCGUGCCAGCAGCCGCCGUAA
rnacentral:rRNA from 1 species